rnacentral:rRNA from 1 species
UACGUAGGGUGCGAGCGUUGUCCGGAAUUAUUGGGCGUAAAGAGCUUGUAGGCGGUUUGUCGCGUCUGCCGUGAAAAUCCGGGGCUCAACCCCGGACUUGCGGUGGGUACGGGCAGACUAGAGUGUGGUAGGGGAGACUGGAAUUCCUGGUGUAGCGGUGAAAUGCGCAGAUAUCAGGAGGAACACCGAUGGCGAAGGCAGGUCUCUGGGCCACUACUGACGCUGAGAAGCGAAAGCGUGGGGAGCAUACAGG